rnacentral:rRNA from 1 species
AUUGAACGCUGGCGGCAUGCCUUACACAUGCAAGUCGAACGGCAGCACGGGAGCAAUCCUGGUGGCGAGUGGCGAACGGGUGAGUAAAGUAUCGGAACGUGCCCAGUCGUGGGGGAUAACGUAGCGAAAGUUACGCUAAUACCGCAUACGAUCUAUGGAUGAAAGCGGGGGAUCGCAAGACCUCGCGCGAUUGGAGCGGCCGAUAUCAGAUUAGGUAGUUGGUGGGGUAAAGGCUCACCAAGCCGACGAUCUGUAGCUGGUCUGAGAGGACGACCAGCCAAGCUGGGACUGAGACACGGCCCAGACUCCUACGGGAGGCAGCAGUGGGGAAUUUUGGACAAUGGGCGAAAGCCUGAUCCAGCCAUGCCGCGUGCAGGAUGAAGGCCUUCGGGUUGUAAACUGCUUUUGUACGGAACGAAAAGGUUUGGCCUAAUAAGCUGAGCUCAUGACGGUACCGUAAGAAUAAGCACCGGCUAACUACGUGCCAGCCGCCGCGGUAA